rnacentral:rRNA from 1 species
UAAUAGAUACCCGGGUAGUCCACGCCCUAAACGAUGCGAACUGGAUGUUGGGUACAUUACGGUACUCAGUGUCGAAGCUAACGCGUUAAGUUCGCCGCCUGGGGAGUACGGUCGCAAGACUGAAACUCAAAGGAAUUGACGGGGGCCCGCACAAGCGGUGGAGUAUGUGGUUUAAUUCGAUGCAACGCGAAGAACCUUACCUGGCCUUGACAUCUGUCGAAUCCUGCAGAGAUGCGGGAGUGCCGCAAGGAACGACAAGACAGGUGCUGCAUGGCUGUCGUCAGCUCGUGUCGUGAGAUGUUGGGUUAAGUCCCGCAACGAGCGCAACCCUUGUCCUUAGUUGCCAGCACGUAAUGGUGGGAACUCUAAGGAGACUGCCGGUGACAAACCGGAGGAAGGUGGGGAUGACGUCAAGUCCUCAUGGCCCUUACGGCCAGGGCUACACACGUACUACAAUGGUCGGUACAGAGGGUUGCGAAGCCGCGAGGUGGAGCCAAUCCCAGAAAGCCGAUCCCAGUCCGGAUUGGAGUCUGCAACUCG